rnacentral:rRNA from 1 species
GACGAACGCUGGCGGCGUGCUUAACACAUGCAAGUCGAACGGUAAAGCCCGGCGCUUGUGGGGGGCGCGAGUGGCGAGAGGGGGUGAAAAAUGCGAGAGACCCGCGCUCUACUCUGGGAGAUCUGCAUGGGACAGGGGGUAAAAUACGGUAGGAGCCCCGUCAGCGCGGGGUGGGGUGGGAAAUUGGUUUUGCUGGGUUUGGAUGGGCUCGCGGCCUAUCAGCUUGUUGGUGGGGUAGUGGCCAACCAAGGCGUCGACGGGUAGCCGGCCUGAGAGGGUGACCGGCCACACUGGGACUGAGAUACGGCCCAGACUCCUACGGGAGGCAGCAGUGGGGAAUAUUGCACAAUGGGCGGAAGCCUGAUGCAGCGACGCCGCGUGCGGGAUGACGGCCUUCGGGUUGUAAACCGCUUUCGGCUGUGACGAAGCGUGAGUGACGGUACUGGGUGAAGAAGCACCGGCUAACUACGUG